GAUCAUGGCUCAGGACGACGCUGGCGGCGUGCUUAACACAUGCAAGUCGAACGGAGCACCCUUGAUUGAGGUUUCGGCCAAAUGAUAGGAAUGCUUAGUGGCGGACUGGUGAGUAACGCGUGAGGAACCUGGCCUUUCAGAGGGGGACAACAGUUGGAAACGACUGCUAAUACCGCAUGACGCAUUUUGAUCGCAUGGUCGAAAUGCCAAAGAUUUAUCGCUGAAAGAUGGCCUCGCGUCUGAUUAGCUAGUUGGUGAGGUAACGGCCCACCAAGGCGACGAUCAGUAGCCGGACUGAGAGGUUGAACGGCCACAUUGGGACUGAGAUACGGCCCAGACUCCUACGGGAGGCAGCAGUGGGGAAUAUUGGGCAAUGGGCGCAAGCCUGACCCAGCAACGCCGCGUGAAGGAAGAAGGCUUUCGGGUUGUAAACUUCUUUUGUCAGGGACGAGUAGAAGACGGUACCUGACGAAUAAGCCACGGCUAACUACGUG
rnacentral:rRNA from 1 species